CUGGUUGUUGCACGUUGGAUUAGAUUUCAAUAAAAGCAGACGUUUACCAGAUGACUUUGACUGUAAAAAAUUCCACCCCGUCUUUCCACUUAGCCCAGCGCAAUUAUUGUCAGUGUCAUUUUCUUGAGAAAGUCGAUGCAUCUACUUGUGCGAUACAAGAUUGAUGUCUUACACGGUUAUAUUAAGAAAAAAAAUAUGUAUCUCAUAUUUUGUAUAUAUAUCACUUGUGUUUCCAUCUAGAAUCUAGUCAAGGUUGAGAGUGGUGUUGAUUGUGUUGAAAGUGUACAGUCCAAGAAAGUUCAAAGCUGCAAUAAUAAUAACUCCGACGAUACUGCAUUUUAAAUCUUAGUGAAAGCUGGAGCAAUGGCGAAAGGUUCAAAAAGGGGGAAGGGCGGGAAGAAGAACAAUCAAAGGUCGAAUAAGAAUAAGGGUCAGUGUAAGCCACAAUCGAUGGAUGCAAGGAAAAAGAACAUCAUAAAUGAAAUUCAAGAUGUUGUAGCACCCAGUUGGACAUCGGAUGAGGAAAAUGAAGUUGAAUCCCAUGCUUCAUUCGAUGUUGCAGCUUCCAAUGUGGAUCGGGCGAACUUUGAAGCAGCAAGAAGUCAGGUAGAAAUUAGAAAACAUCUCCUCAAGUUGUUCGUCAAGCUGUUUUCCCCAUCUUCUUCGUCAAGCUGUUCCUCAAUUGGUGAAUCCAUCUCCUCACCCUAUGCAACAACUUCUCAGUAAUCCAUGUAAUAAUAAUUGGAGGAAGGAAUUGAUUUAUCUGCGCUGCUGCUAUGUCCUUAUUCGCGUUCUCCUUUGUUCGUGUCCUGCUACCGCGGUGCUGCCGUUGUUACUUGCAGUUGGUUGCUGCUGUCCUUUGCCGCGACGAACCGCUGGAGCUCAGCUCCCCUUCUGUGCUUUGUUUCGUCCAUGCUCAAGUAGAGCAGAGGUUUGGUAUCAAGAGCUCGGGAAUAGAAGUGAAGCGAGAUUAUGAUGUUGUCGUAGAUUAUGGAUUAAGUUUGUAUUUUAGAUAGUUGAUUCGAGAAUAGUUAUCGGUAUUUCAUUGUAUAUAAUUUUUGGGAAUAUUAGUCGAGUUAUUGGUGUAAUUAAGGUUGUUUUUCCGCUGCGAAGUAAUUUAAUUAAGAGUUAAUUGUUGUUUA